UACGUAGGGUGCGAGCGUUAAUCGGAAUUACUGGGGCGUAAAGCGUGCGCAGGCGGUGAUGUAAGACAGAUGUGAAAUCCCCGGGCUCAACCUGGGAACUGCAUUUGUGACUGCACGGCUAGAGUGUGUCAGAGGGGGGUAGAAUUCCACGUGUAGCAGUGAAAUGCGUAGAGAUGUGGAGGAAUACCGAUGGCGAAGGCAGCCCCCUGGGAUAACACUGACGCUCAUGCACGAAAGCGUGGGGAGCAAACAGG
rnacentral:rRNA from 1 species